GCCGGGCGUGGUGGCUCACGCCUGUAAUCCCAGCACUUUGGGAGGCCGAGGCGGGUUGAUCACCUGAGGUCAGGAGUUCGAGGCGAGCCUGACCAACAUGGUGAAACCCCAUCUCUC
ensembl:misc_RNA Metazoa_SRP Metazoan signal recognition particle RNA